UGAUGAUACGUAACGUUGGAGCUUAUCUAGUUCAUAACACUAGAAGGAUUUUUUUCCCCCCCAUAUAACAAAUUCGAUAACAAACUACACACAGACGCUAUUUAGGUUUCAUAAUGUUUGGAUUUAAGGUACAGAAAGCGGUGUUGCAUCCAUGGAAGGAAAAAUAUAAAAAAGAACAAGCUUUCGAUCCAAUUUUCCAUUUUGAAACUUCUAGAUUGUUCCCAAGAGUUACAACUAUUAGAAAAAAUAUGGGACCCCUGAGCGCAGCACCAACGGUCACAAUGUAUUCGCCAGCAGAGCUUCAUAGACUUUGGAGGAGUUCUCAGCCUAUUAUGGAAAGACAGCCAGAGAUUGCUUCUGUUAUCAGCGAGAAAGGGAAUAAAGCAAAGGUCCCUUCAGUUUUACAUUUCUGUUGUCUCAUUUUGGCUUUGUUUUUAUUAGCAAAAACUAUUUUGUCGCAACUGUUAAAAUCCAGUUUGAUCAUUGUAUUUUCCGGUUUCAAAAAUAUGGCUUUUUUUUUCUUUGUAUUAUCUUCUCAGAUGUGGUAUUUCAUUGAUGUUUCUGUAUGUUUUGUACUGUGCAUAUGCAUUGACUUUCUAUGUAUUUUAAUAAGCAUUUUACAGUCUUUGCAUGUUAUGAAUCAUAUUUCAAAACAAAUAGUCACUGCAAAUAAAGAUUGAUUAGCACAGAAGAAUGAACCUCAGCCAUGAGGCACUUUAGGAUUUCUAGUGUUUGGUACAAUAGAUUUCUCAGUUUUUAACUAAGUUCUUUUUUUUUUAUGAUGGUGUACGUUUUUGUUUUCAUCUAAAUUCAUCCAUUUUCUACAAGUGCUUAUCCAGAACAGGGUUGCAUGAAAUCUGGAGCUUGUUCCAUCAAGCAAAGGGCAGCAGUGCUAACUCAAAGCUCUGGAGACCCAAAUUUCAUUCCAGGAGUAACUCUUGUGUGUUUUUCUUGUUCCCUUUCAUUGAAUUUUUUUUUUGUUUCUUUCCCCAUUCCAGAAGCAUGCAUGAUCUUUUUAAACACAUAUUUCUCUGGGCUUGAUUAUGGACAAGUCUGAUCUUAGGUGGACUGUAGAAAACUCUGUUU